UACGUAGGGUGCAAGCGUUAAUCGGAAUUACUGGGCGUAAAGCGUGCGUAGGCGGCUUUGCAAGUCGAGUGUGAAAUCCCCAAGGCUCAACCUGGGAACUGCAUUCGAGACUGCAUAGCUAGAGUAUGGGAGAGGGAAGUGGAAUUCAGGUGUAGCGGUGAAAUGCGUAGAUAUCUGAAGGAACAUCAGUGGCGAAAGCGACUCCUGGACCAAUACUGACGCUCAUGGUGCGAAAAGCGUGGGGAGCAAACAGG
rnacentral:rRNA from 1 species